ncrna:unclassified sequences Glutamine-II riboswitch (downstream peptide RNA)
GUCCGUUCAUCCCUACGUAUCAACAAGUAGGGACGCAUGACACCCAAGCAUGGAACGGGGCUUGGA